UGCGUAGACGGUAUGUUAAGCUUGUUGUUAAAUUUCCCGGCCUAACCGGGAGCAGGCGAUGAGAACUGACAUACUCGAGGAUGGAAGAGAGAAGUGGAAUUCCCGGAGUAGCGGUAAAAUGCGUAGAUCUCGGGAGGAACACCGAUGGCGAAGGCAGCUUCUUGGUCCAUUCCUGACGUUGAGGCACGAAAGCGUGGGGAGCAAACAGGAUUAGAUACCCUGGUAGUCC
rnacentral:rRNA from 1 species